CUAGCUACAGGCUUAACACAUGCAAGUCGAGGGGCAGCAUGGUCUUAGCUUGCUAAGGCCGAUGGCGACCGGCGCACGGGUGAGUAACACGUAUCCAACCUGCCGUCUACUCUUGGACAGCCUUCUGAAAGGAAGAUUAAUACAAGAUGGCAUCAUGAGUCCGCAUGUUCACAUGAUUAAAGGUAUUCCGGUAGACGAUGGGGAUGCGUUCCAUUAGAUAGUAGGCGGGGUAACGGCCCACCUAGUCUUCGAUGGAUAGGGGUUCUGAGAGGAAGGUCCCCCACAUUGGAACUGAGACACGGUCCAAACUCCUACGGGAGGCAGCAGUGAGGAAUAUUGGUCAAUGGGCGAGAGCCUGAACCAGCCAAGUAGCGUGAAGGAUGACUGCCCUAUGGGUUGUAAACUUCUUUUAUAAAGGAAUAAAGUCGGGUAUGGAUACCCGUUUGCAUGUACUUUAUGAAUAAGGAUCGGCUAACUCCGUGCCAGCAGCCGCGGUAAUACGGAGGAUCCGAGCGUUAUCCGGAUUUAUUGGGUUUAAAGGGAGUGUAGAUGGAUAUUUAAGUCAGUUGUGAAAGUUUGCGGCUCAACCGUAAAAUUGCAGUUGAUACUGGAUAUCUUGAGUGCAGUUGAGGCAGGCGGAAUUCGUGGUGUAGCGGUGAAAUGCUUAGAUAUCACGAAGAACUCCGAUUGCGAAGGCAGCCUGCUAAGCU
rnacentral:rRNA from 1 species